rnacentral:rRNA from 1 species
UACGUAGGUGGCAAGCGUUGUCCGGAUUUACUGGGCGUAAAGGGCGUGCAGGCGGUCUGUUAAGUCUAGGGUGAAAGCUCCCGGCUCAACUGGGAGAGGUCCUUGGAUACUGGCGGACUUGAGGGAGGCAGAGGAGAAUAGAAUUCCCGGUGUAGUGGUGAUAUGCGUAGAUAUCAGGAGGAACACCGGUGGCGAAGGCGGCUCUCUGGACGGUGACUGACGCUGAGACGCGAAAGCGUGGGGAGCAAACAGG